AGGAGGAGGAGGAGGAUGAUAAUCACAAUGAUGACUUUGAUUUUUGAUGAUGGGGUUGGUGAGGCGAACUAAAGGUCCGAGAAAAAAAGCAAAGGAGAUUUGAGGGGGUGCAAAGCUUUUGUGGCAGACGAAGAUGAGUUGAUGUAUUCUUAGUUUAUUUACCUCCUUGGAUGGAUGAUGGACUUAUA